CACUCCAAGGAGCGUUGCAGCGCCUGCCGCGAAGUGCGCGGCAGGGGUCAGGCUUGGGGUCUCAACGGCGCUCAUCCCUU
rfam:Thiomonas intermedia K12, complete genome.